GAUGAUACCUUCAACUAAAAAAACCAAAUGUGCUCUCGUGUGGUCCUGACGGAAAAGUAGUAUCAACAAGAACCCUCCACUUUUUCGACCAAGUUAUCGUUAUGAGAUCCUUCUGAUGGCUUCUUACUAGGCUAUGCCGCUCCGAAGCAUUGAGAUGACGAAGCGUCGUGGUAGCUGCACCUCUGCCUUCGAAAGAUGAAUCAGUCAUUCCACACUGUGCUUACUGGCUUUGUAUAGAGUCUGGCAAAUCCGACAGACUUGGACUGCCUUUUUCAAGAAAGUUUGAAAUAGCAUCCCUUAUGCACCUG